UCUCUCAAGUGUUACACGUGCGAGUCUGAUUCGAAGGGUUACUGUGACGCAAAAGUGGAGAUAUGUCCAGUUGGAUUUUCUAAAUGCGGAAAGACCAUAGUGGAACAAUCAGAUGGUUCUGCUAAGGUGUCCAUCACAACUAAAGGGUGUGUACCGGUAUGUGAUCCAGUGACCCUAAAGGCGACAGAAAAAGGCAUAAUGUCUCUCCACUGCUGUGACACUGAUCUCUGCAAUGCAGCAGAUGGAGUGUAUAAGGGAAGCUUCCUCCUGCUCUUCUCUCCUCUGCUCUUCUACUUCCUGUUUCAGUGAGUCCAGAUUCAAGACUUCAGAUUCUACAGCGAAGACCAGCGAAUAUGAGACACAUUCUGAUGCAUUACUGUACUUUACUGAAUAAAGCUUGUUUGUUGCUCUGCUGUUCUUUGUAUCAUGAUUUGAGGAACUCAGAAAUAUGCAUUUUAAUAAACAAAUAUGAAACAAA